GGCAGUGUGGCAUAGUGGUUUGAUUACUGGACUAUAACUCUGGAGACCAGGGUUCGAUUCCCAGCUUGGCCA